rnacentral:lncRNA from 1 species
CAUUAUCCCAGCUUGUUACAAGCCCCAUCCUGGUCUUGAACACUUCCAGGGAUCCAGGGGCAGCCACAGCUUCUCUGGGAAAUUGAAAUCCCAAAUUCAUUGGUGUCUCCGAAAUUGAAAUCCCAGAUUCAUUGGUGUCUCCGAAAUUGAAAUCCCAGAUUCAUCGGUGUCUCCCUUUGCCCCCAGCUCUUUGGACGCCGGUGUUGUAUCGCUGAGUGGAGGGCUGCUGCCGGGAGAGCUGUCCUGCCGGGAUGCUGCCGGGAUGCUGCCAAAUGCGCAGGGAAGCGGCUCCCACUAGAGCGCGCUAGGACAGUUAAAACGGAGCUGGUUUUGUGCUGGCAUCAGGCUGGAACCAUCAAAGAUGCCUCUGUAAGGAACGGCACUUUGGUUUUUCAGCAGGGAUUCUGGCUAAGUUCCCCAUGUUUGGAGUACAGCUUCCCUGGAUGAGUGUGGAGCAAAGCCAGCUGAAGCUGCCUUAGAGCACUGAGGUCUGGGCUGGGACCCGUGCUGGCAAAACCUGUUGGAAGACCCUGGCCUCACAGAGGGCAGAGAGAAGCUUUGUCCUCCAUCCCUGUCUCAUCUCACAGCCCCUGUGUUUGCUGCUCUCUGAGGCAGAGGAAGUUUGACAUUUGCCUGCCAAAACCUCCCUUUGCUGACCCACUGUUCUGCAUUUUCCUGGGUUAUCAGCAUCAUCCCAUCUGGAAAGACGGUGGCUCUUUUCUUCACAGACUCUACCCUUGCACAACAGAAAUAAACCAUGAAGGUUGAAAACUAGGAGAGAAACAUUUAGAAUGUAUGGAGUGUUUUUAUAAACCCAUCAAUUUUCAAAC